rnacentral:misc_RNA from 1 species
UUUUUUAAACUUUCAUCAUUUGUGUUACAGUAAGCUAUAAUCACUAUAGUCACUUCCUUUUAUCAUAGACUGAUAAAUAUCUUUUAUUAAUUGUUCGAUAAAUGUCUUAUUUGGCAUAUGAACUUGAAUUCAGCGUAUUAUUUGAAUGUAUUAAUGCCUCUAAACUUUCUUUCCCAGGAGACCACUUCGUUAGGACCAUACUUGGCCCUUUUUAUAUUUUUCCAAUGCGUUUAUUGUAUUUGACUUCCUACUUGAUAGGUUUAUCAUGCUUCUUUCCUCUCUCACAUUUUGAUAUGCAUUGCUCACAAAAAUUUUCUUUACAAUUACAAAUUUAUCUAAUUUUUAUUACUAUAGUUAGCAACGAAAAAGAGAAUGA